AUUGAACGCUGGCGGCAGGCUUAACACAUGCAAGUCGAGCGAGCGGCGGACGGGUGAGUCAUGUCUGGGAAACUGCCUGAUGGAGGGGGAUAACUACUGGAAACGGUAGCUAAUACCGCAUACCAUCAGAUGUGCCCAGAUGGGAUUAGCUAGUAGGUGGGGGAAUGGCUCACCUAGGCGACGAUCCCUAGCUGGUCUGAGAGGAUGACGAGCGCCACUGGAACUGAGACACGGUCAAGACUCCUACGGGAGGACGGAGUGGUGAAUAUGGCAGAAUGGGCGCAAGCCUGAUGCAGCCAUGCGGCGUGUGUGAAGAAGGCCUUCGGGUUGUAAAGAACUUUCAGCGAGGAGGCGUUACUCGCAGAAGAAGCACCGGCUAACUCCGUGCAAGCAGCCGCGGAAUAC
rnacentral:rRNA from 1 species